rnacentral:rRNA from 1 species
AUGACAGACCGGACUGAAACACCGCGAGAAGAGAAUAUAGUAUACAUGGAUAUGGACUCUGGAGAUGCACGGAAAGAAUCCAUUGAGGGUUCAGAUGCAAUGUCGCUGCAAGGGGCCGGAAAUUCACAACAUAAUCACGUCGAAGAGGUGAUAAAUGCUUACAUAUAUUGCAUGCUUGCUCACGAUCAUCUACAAGAUAGGGCGGGUGAAAAGUUAUUCAUUCCGAUUAACAUGCCGGGCUACCAUUGGUAUCUAGCAGUUGCCAACGCCAAAAAACGAGAGAUCCAAGUAUUGGACUCACUUGGUGAGAAUGUCAAACGCAAUGACCUUGCUACGACGUUACUAGGGCUCGAGAAAUGGCUGAAACUUGCAGAGCAUUGUCCGGAGUUUAUCAGAGGUCAUAAGUGGCCUGAUCUCAAUGUUACAAAAUGGACGGUUGUAGAGCAAAUUCAGGAGGCAAUACAAACCGAUGGCAUAUCAUGUGGAUUGUUUAUGCUAAAUUUUAUGGAAUACUGGACAUCACAUGGACUGUCAGACCAGUUUACGCAGGAGGAUAUGAAACAUUUUCGACAAAAAUUAGCAAUUAUUUUGCUCGAUUCAGAGCUUAAUAAGCUAAAAGGAUGUCCCAUGUACCAUCAACCUCUAAACAAAGAAACUUUAGCUAAUUCUGAUCUUGAGAUCCUGGAUAAUCCAUCUGACGUGGUCGAAGACAAACGUCCCGCCCCAAUCACUAUCAUUCCCACAGACCAACGUGAAAUACUUGUCGGCCUCUGCAGCUACAUCAUGUCGAUCAAUGAUGCUGGGUGUUUGGACCCAUGGACAAUGAUUGCUUCAACAGCCGUGCUUAUGCUGGCAUGUGACGAGGGAUUAUUGUUCACAGACCCUCCUAUACACUACAUGGAUCUACGAUUUUGUUCCAUGCUACUAGAGUCAACACGAGGUCAGAAGUUUUGUGAGAAGGAAACUAUCCAGACGUUGGCAACAUUAUUUGAUAGCUGGCCUGGGAUGGAGACCAACAUCUCAUCUUGCAAUAAGAUUUAUCUUCCCUAUGCAUCCAUCGGCCGAUACAUCCUGUACAUCAUCGACAAAGAGGCACGUCGUCUAUAUAUUAUGGAUCCUAUUCAAUCAUCACAAUCGAUGGGCCUGAUCGAUGGAGGGCCAGUUAGUUGGGUGGCCAUGCAUUCUUUCUUCGUCAACAUAGCUCGAAGUUUCUGCCUGCUUCCGGAUGUAGUGGAUACCAUGAGGAUUGCAUCUACUUCCUAUGUGACUCUCUCCAGCCGACCUCUUCUGCGAAUCCUCUACGUGACUCUGGCGUGUACAACAUCAGGGCUGACACAAUCAUACCAUUGA